AAAUUGAAGAGUUUGAUCAUGGCUCAGAUUGAACGCUGGCGGCAGGCCUAACACAUGCAAGUCGAACGGUAACAGGAAGCAGCUUGCUGCUUUGCUGACGAGUGGCGGACGGGUGAGUAAUGUCUGGGAAACUGCCUGAUGGAGGGGGAUAACUACUGGAAACGGUGGCUAAUACCGCAUAACGUCGCAAGACCAAAGAGGGGGACCUUCGGGCCUCUUGCCAUCAGAUGUGCCCAGAUGGGAUUAGCUUGUUGGUGAGGUAACGGCUCACCAAGGCGACGAUCCCUAGCUGGUCUGAGAGGAUGACCAGCCACACUGGAACUGAGACACGGUCCAGACUCCUACGGGAGGCAGCAGUGGGGAAUAUUGCACAAUGGGCGCAAGCCUGAUGCAGCCAUGCCGCGUGUAUGAAGAAGGCCUUCGGGUUGUAAAGUACUUUCAGCGGGGAGGAAGGUGUUGUGGUUAAUAACCGCAGCAAUUGACGUUACCCGCAGAAGAAGCACCGGCUAACUCCGUGCCAGCAGCCGCGGUAAUACGGAGGGUGCAAGCGUUAAUCGGAAUUACUGGGCGUAAAGCGCACGCAGGCGGUCUGUCAAGUCGGAUGUGAAAUCCCCGGGCUCAACCUGGGAACUGCAUUCGAAACUGGCAGGCUUGAGUCUUGUAGAGGGGGGUAGAAUUCCAGGUGUAGCGGUGAAAUGCGUAGAGAUCUGGAGGAAUACCGGUGGCGAAGGCGGCCCCCUGGACAAAGACUGACGCUCAGGUGCGAAAGCGUGGGGAGCAAACAGGAUUAGAUACCCUGGUAGUCCACGCCGUAAACGAUGUCUACUUGGAGGUUGUGCCCUUGAGGCGUGGCUUCCGGAGCUAACGCGUUAAGUAGACCGCCUGGGGAGUACGGCCGCAAGGUUAAAACUCAAAUGAAUUGACGGGGGCCCGCACAAGCGGUGGAGCAUGUGGUUUAAUUCGAUGCAACGCGAAGAACCUUACCUGGUCUUGACAUCCACAGAACAUUCCAGAGAUGGAUUGGUGCCUUCGGGAACUGUGAGACAGGUGCUGCAUGGCUGUCGUCAGCUCGUGUUGUGAAAUGUUGGGUUAAGUCCCGCAACGAGCGCAACCCUUAUCCUUUGUUGCCAGCGGUCCGGCCGGGAACUCAAAGGAGACUGCCAGUGAUAAACUGGAGGAAGGUGGGGAUGACGUCAAGUCAUCAUGGCCCUUACGACCAGGGCUACACACGUGCUACAAUGGCGCAUACAAAGAGAAGCGACCUCGCGAGAGCAAGCGGACCUCAUAAAGUGCGUCGUAGUCCGGAUUGGAGUCUGCAACUCGACUCCAUGAAGUCGGAAUCGCUAGUAAUCGUGGAUCAGAAUGCCACGGUGAAUACGUUCCCGGGCCUUGUACACACCGCCCGUCACACCAUGGGAGUGGGUUGCAAAAGAAGUAGGUAGCUUAACCUUCGGGAGGGCGCUUACCACUUUGUGAUUCAUGACUGGGGUGAAGUCGUAACAAGGUAACCGUAGGGGAACCUGC
rnacentral:rRNA from 4 species